AGUGAAUAGAUACCCUGGUAGUCCACGCCGUAAACGAUGGAUACUAGCUGUUCGGAGCAAAUCUGAGUGGCUAAAGCGAAAGUGAUAAGUAUCCCACCUGGGGAGUACGCACGCAAGUGUGAAACUCAAAGGAAUUGACGGGGGCCCGCACAAGCGGUGGAGCAUGUGGUUUAAUUCGAUGAUACGCGAGGAACCUUACCAGGGCUUAAAUGUAGAUUGACAGGACUGGAAACAGUUUUUCUUCGGACAAUUUACAAGGUGCUGCAUGGUUGUCGUCAGCUCGUGCCGCGAGGUGUCAGGUUAAGUCCUAUAACGAGCGCAACCCCUGUCGUUAGUUGCCAGCGAGUCAUGUCGGGAACUCUAACGAGACUGCCAGUGUAAACUGUGAGGAAGGUGGGGAUGACGUCAAAUCAUCACGGCCCUUACGUCCUGGGCCACACACGUGCUACAAUGGUAGGUACAGAGAGCAGCCACUGCGCGAGCAGGAGCGAAUCUACAAAACCUAUCUCAGUUCGGAUCGGA
rnacentral:rRNA from 1 species